UUUCUGGACUGUAAAAUUAAGCAGAAAGAAAAAUUUAUACAAUCAUUUCAUGCUUUUAACAUAUAUGCUUUUUUUUUUCCUUAGCCUCUGAAUGGAGGCAGGAGGGUAAGAAAGAAGAGAGUAAGAAGCAGAUUUGCCAUUAUCUAUGUUGUAAUUAACUCUUGUUAUCACUGAUGUCAUGUGUAGUUUUAAAUUUUGAACGUUGACAGCUGCAUUUAAUAUUUAGCUGUUACCACUCAACUAUAAUAUUUGGAUACACUGCAUAGAUGAAGAGAAUCUUACUGAAUUGAUACAGUUUAACAUGAAAACUGAUGUUAGUAUUGGGUUAGACUCCUACAUAAGAAUAUAUUCUUACCAUUAUAAUCAUACAAUAUGUGCAUAUAUAUACAUGUGUGUGUGUGUCCAUAAAUAUAUGUCAAGGUUUCUUAAGAAAAAUUUAAAUACAUUAUAGAAAUUAUUGUACAUAAGGUCAAAAGUCAAAGCAUUUCUGCUGCUAUAUAUUAAUUUUAUGAAUGAUUAUCAGUACACUACUAUUGGGAAAUCCAAACACUUGCUACUUUUAAUAUGCUUUCUUUUCUUUAAUCUGUGGGUACCAUACUCACUUUGUUGAAGGCAUGGACCUAUUUAUUUAUAAUUGUGACCUCUCUUUAGUCAUCAGCUAAACCGAGUUUUUUUAGUGUGCUUUCUGUAUCAUUUUCUUAAAUGGAACUCCCAUUGGGUGAAAAGGAUGGUUCCAGAGGUUAGAAAUCACAAAAAUGAUAGUAACUGCCUAACCUGGUAUAACACAGUCCCAACAGACAAGCCCUUAUGGACAAAAUACAGGGCACAGAUCUGCCUGUUUGUUCAUUCUUAGACAAUGUACUUAUUCAUCACUGUGUCACCAGCACCAAGCAUAAUGCCCAAGACAACGCAAAAGAAUAUAUGGGAGUUGAGGGAACCAAAUAUUUCCUCCAUUCCAUCUGAGUAGUCAAGAAUAUUAUCACCUGCAUCUGCUUGCAUGUUUUCGGCAUGUCUUCUUGUUUUUUUGGGUGACAAGAUUGGUAAAGGCUGAAUGACUUCUCCAGGUGGACCCUGUGAAAGAGAUAAUGUGCAUGUAACUGCUUCCUAAGGUAAAAUAUUCUGCAUAAUUAUUACUGAUGAGGUCAUUAUUAUGAGAAAUUAUAGUUGGUUUAGCUUUUCAAUGUUUUCCCUACUUUCAAUAUUUUCUCUAAUUGUUACUACAUAUACAUACACAUGUUAUAAAUAUUUAUAUAGAAACUGUGUUAAGUUCUUUUAAA